rnacentral:rRNA from 1 species
UACGAAGGGGGCUAGCGUUGCUCGGAAUCACUGGGCGUAAAGGGUGCGUAGGCGGGUCUUUAAGUCAGGGGUGAAAUCCUGGAGCUCAACUCCAGAACUGCCUUUGAUACUGAAGAUCUUGAGUUCGGGAGAGGUGAGUGGAACUGCGAGUGUAGAGGUGAAAUUCGUAGAUAUUGCAAGAACACCAGUGGCGAAGGCGGCUCACUGGCUCAUUUCUGACGCUCAGGCGCGACAGCGUGGGGAUCGAAACAGG